rnacentral:rRNA from 1 species
CAACGCCGCGUGCAGGAUGACGCUUUUCGGAGUGUAAACUGCUUUUCUUAGGGACGAGUAAGGACGGUACCUAAGGAAUAAGCCCCGGCUAACUACGUGC